rnacentral:rRNA from 1 species
CCUACGGGGUGCAGCAGUGGGGGAUAUUGCACAAUGGGGGAAACCCUGAUGCAGCGACGCCGCGUGGGUGAAGAAGCGCCUCGGCGCGUAAAGCCCUGUCAGCAGGGAAGAAAAUGACGGUACCUGAAGAAGAAGCCCCGGCUAACUACGUGCCAGCAGCCGCGGUAAUACGUAGGGGGCAAGCGUUAUCCGGAUUUACUGGGUGUAAAGGGGGCGCAGACGGCGAUGCAAGCCAGGAGUGAACGCCCGGGGCCCAACCCCGGGACUGCUCUUGGAACUGCGUGGCUAGAGUGCAGGAGGGGCAGGCGGAAUGCCUGGUGUAGCGGUGAAAUGCGUAGAUAUCAGGAGGAACACCGGUGGCGAAGGCGGCCUGCUGGACUGCAACUGACGUUGAGGCCCGAAAGCGUGGGGAGCAAACAGGAUUAGAUACCCGGGUAGUC